rnacentral:rRNA from 1 species
GACGAACCGUGCGAACGUUGUUCGGAAUCCCUGGGCUUAAAGGGCGCGUAGGCGGGCUGUCAAGUCUGGGGUGAAAUGCCGCGGCUCAACCGUGGAACUGCCUUAGAUACUGACGGCCUCGAGGAAGGUAGGGGCAUGCGGAACUGUAGGUGGAGCGGUGAAAUGCGUUGAUAUCUACAGGAACUCCGGUGGCGAAAGCGGCGUGCUGGACCUUUUCUGACGCUGAGGCGCGAAAGCUAGGGGAGCAAACGGG